rnacentral:piRNA from 1 species
UACUUCAUAAACACAGAACCUACGAAGC